UUUGAUUACCAACAAAAAAAAAAAAAAAAAAAAAAAAAAAAAAUGAUGUUAUUACCAAAUUUUUAAUUUUUUUAUUACUUUUAUUAAAAAAUUUUUUUUUUUUUUAAAUAUGUGUACUUAGAAACAAAUCUUUUUUUUUUGUUUUUUUUUUUUUAAUAUUUUUUUUAUGUUAAGAAAAAACAUUAACGAACUAAUGAUUCAAUAUGAGAGAAUAAAAUUUCAAUUUAUUGAAUUACAAAAGAGGCAAACAAGUUAUGAACAAAAUUUCCAAAAAAAAUAUACAAAUGCUUGGAACCUGCAAAAAAACGAGGCCAACAUGUAUAUUGAAAAGUUAAUAAAUGCAAAUAAAAUAAUUCACGAACAAAUCCUUUUAAAAGAAUUUCAUAAAACUAAUUAUAAAAAAUUAAUAGAAGAUAGCAGCAGUUUAAUUUCAACAACCGUUAAAGAUCAUGAAAACCCUCGAGCGGAGUUAAAUACAAAACGCGUCAAUGUACAACAGAUUGAAAAUGUUAAGAAGCUACUUUUGCAAGAAUGCAAUUUCCUAGUCGAAGACGAUAUGGAUGAUGAACAGCAAAAAAUAAAAAAAAUAUUAAAAUACAUAGGUGUUUAUACACAAGAAGAUUUGGAACUACUAACACAAUUGUUUUAUAUAGAUUGUGAGCAUGAAAGUGAUAAUAACAAUAAUAACAACAAGAAGAGUGAUGAUAAUGCGAUAAAAUGUAACUCAGAAUACACAUUAGAUAUAAUUUAUAAAUAUUAUCAAGAAAAAGAAAAAGAAAAUGCUUGCCAAAUAACGAAGAACAAACAGCAAUAUAAAAAUAGGUUAAAUAUUUCUUUAAAGUUAAUAAUUGAGAGAAGAAAAAAAGAAAAGGAGUUCUGGGAAAACUUAACGCAUAUUAUACCUAAUGAUAUGAUAGAAAUGUGGAAGACAUUCUCAGUUUUUGUGGAAAAGUAUUACUAUAUAUUAAAAGACCGAGCAACUAUUGUCCAAAAUAUUUUUAAUGAAGAAAAAUUAAUCCAUGAAAAUGAAAACAAAAUUGAAAACAUGCGUGAAGCUUUGUCCAAGCUAUAAACAAAUAAAUAUUCAUAUAUUUUGUUCUUAAAGGUUUAA
rnacentral:lncRNA from 1 species